AGCGAACGCUGGCGGCAGGCUUAACACAUGCAAGUCGAGCGGGCACUUUCGGGUGUCCGCGGCGGACGGGUGAGUAACGCGUAGGAACGUGCCCUCUGGUUCGGAAUAACUCAGGGAAACUUGAGCUAAUACCGGAUACGCCCUUUUGGGGAAAGGCUUGCUGCCGGAGGAUCGGCCCGCGUCUGAUUAGCUAGUUGGUGAGGUAACGGCUCACCAAGGCGACGAUCAGUAGCUGGUCUGAGAGGAUGAUCAGCCACACUGGGACUGAGACACGGCCCAGACUCCUACGGGAGGCAGCAGUGGGGAAUAUUGGACAAUGGGCGCAAGCCUGAUCCAGCCAUGCCGCGUGAGUGAUGAAGGCCUUAGGGUUGUAAAGCUCUUUUAUCCGGGACGAUAAUGACGGUACCGGAGGAAUAAGCCCCGGCUAACUUCGUG
rnacentral:rRNA from 1 species